GGAAUAUUGGACAAUGGGCGCAAGCCUGAUCCAGCCAUGCCGCGUGCAGGAUGACGGUCCUAUGGAUUGUAAACUGCUUUUAUACAGGAAGAAACACUGGUUCGUGAACCAGCUUGACGGUACUGUAAGAAUAAGGAUCGGCUAACUCCGUGCCAGCAGCCGCGGUAAUACGGAGGAUCCAAGCGUUAUCCGGAAUCAUUGGGUUUAAAGGGUCCGUAGGCGGUUUAAUAAGUCAGUGGUGAAAGCCCAUCGCUCAACGGUGGAACGGCCAUUGAUACUGUUAGACUUGAAUUAUUAGGAAGUAACUAGAAUAUGUAGUGUAGCGGUGAAAUGCUUAGAGAUUACAUGGAAUACCAAUUGCGAAGGCAGGUUACUACUAAUGGAUUGACGCUGAUGGACGAAAGCGUGGGUAGCGAACAGGAUUAGAUACCCUAG
rnacentral:rRNA from 1 species